GUGUGUUUGUGUGUGUGUUUGUGUGUGUGUUUGUGUCUGACUGUGUGUGUCUGACUGUGUGUGUGUGUUUGUGUCUGACUGUGUAUGUGUGUGUGUGUGUGUGUGUCUGACUGUGUGUGUGUGUGUGUUUGUGUCUGACUGUGUCUGUGUAUGUGUCUGACUGUGUGUGUGUGUGUGUGUAUGUGUCUGACUGUGUGUGUGUGUUUGUGUAUGUGUCUGACUGUGUGUGUGUGUAUUUAGAAG